CACUAGUCUGUCUUCAGGUUGCAAAAGCUGUAAUAACAAGCUACUAAAAAUAAUACAGAGCUUGAUUUAUACCCACCAAAGCAAAGAAAUUCAGAGCUACCCUGACAGUAUUGUCCUUUGCCAUCCCCAGCCAUUUAAAAUACUGCAGUAAAAAGGAUUAUUAGGUUGUGGACUGGGAGUUUUACAGCCACGAGGGAGGCUGGGCUCAAUCCCCAGCGAAUCCUUACUGUGAACUCAUAAUUGUGCUGCAGGAGGGCACCGAGUACAUUCUGUCCUGGUCAAAUUAAAGGUGGUAAUUCAACAUUUCCCUGCCACAUCAGCAGGCCUCUUGCAGCCAGUGGUUAACUGCUGACUUCAGUCAGAAAUGUGUUGGCAGUGAGGUGACCUGGCACUCCAAAAGUCCUGCUAGACCUGUGCUCACAGAAAAAUCUCCAGUUUGCUCUCUGCAGCUUCUGUCCUGCAGUUCUCCAACACAUAAACCAAGGCAUUUUGGAGGUCAGAAAAUAUCCUCAGAGCACAGUCCAGGACUGGCUGUGUGCUUGCAUCUGUAGUAAGAGGUGUUUUUUGCAGUCAAAGAAAGGCAGAUAUUCAAAUGCUUCCUUGCAAGAAAUAUUCCAAACACCUUGUUAAAAUGUGACCAGAGCAGCGACUCCCUCCUGAGCAAAGACCUCCGUGUUUUGUUUAAGCAUGAGAGAAUUUUGGAUGGCUGAAUGAACUGCUGGAAAGCAGCAAAAAAAACAC
rnacentral:lncRNA from 1 species